UACGUAGGCAGCAAGCGUUGUUCGGAGUUACUGGGCGUAAAGAGUGUGUAGGCGGUGCUCUAAGUUCGGUGUGAAAUCUCCCGGCUCAACUGGGAGGGUGCGCCGGAAACUGGAAUGCUUGAGCGUGGGAGAGGAAAGCGGAAUUCCUGGUGUAGCGGUGAAAUGCGUAGAUAUCAGGAGGAACACCUGCGGUGUAGACGGCUUUCUGGACCAUGCUGACGCUGAGACACGAAAGCGUGGGUAGCAAACAGG
rnacentral:rRNA from 1 species